UAGGGAAUCUUCGGCAAUGGACGGAAGUCUGACCGAGCAACGCCGCGUGAGUGAAGAAGGUUUUCGGAUCGUAAAGCUCUGUUGUAAGAGAAGAACGAGUGUGAGAGUGGAAAGUUCACACUGUGACGGUAUCCUACCAGAAAGGGACGGCUAACUACGUGCCAGCAGCCGCGGUAAUACGUAGGUCCCAAGCGUUGUCCGGAUUUAUUGGGCGUAAAGCGAGCGCAGGCGGUUAGAUAAGUCUGAAGUUAAAGGCUGUGGCUUAACCAUAGUACGCUUUGGAAACUGUUUAACUUGAGUGCAAGAGGGGAGAGUGGAAUUCCAUGUGUAGCGGUGAAAUGCGUAGAUAUAUGGAGGAACACCGGUGGCGAAAGCGGCUCUCUGGCUUGUAACUGACGCUGAGGCUCGAAAGCGUGGGGAGCAAACAGGAUUAGAUACCCUGGUAGUCCACGCCGUAAACGAUGAGUGCUAGGUGUUAGACCCUUUCCGGGGUUUAGUGCCGUAGCUAACGCAUUAAGCACUCCGCCUGGGGAGUACGACCGCAAGGUUG
rnacentral:rRNA from 1 species